rnacentral:lncRNA from 1 species
CGGAUGAGAUUGAUCACGAUGGAUGAUUCAGAUCAGCACAGGAUGAAUAUAAAUACUUCGUAUAACACGGGAACCCGAACCCUAGCUGCCAGCCUCCGCCGGAGAAGAAUAACCAGAUGCUGGAAAAGGAGACCAACCGCUUACCGUCGCUGCACAAGAGCCACCGCUAGCCGCCAAAAAGGUAAAAAUUUUCCCUACCUGCUCGAAAUUCGAUUACUAGCAUCCUUGUGGCCAAAUCGGAGUAAGAGGGACUGCAAGUGAGUCAAAAAUCACGAGCAAAGUCUGACGGAGCCACAGCGGCCAAAACCCCAAAAUCCCUUCGAUGAAUCCCUUCUCGAUUUCUGUUUUAUGUGAUUUUUCGAUGAUUGUGUUCACUAUCCUUUUCUGUGUAGGUUAACUGAAGAAAGAACCUCAGCCACGAAGGAGGAUCAACGGAGCCACCGCACUCAGAGGUUCCCCUGUCGGUAGGUUCGAUUUUUUAUAAUUUUUCGGCCAACCGAGGCCCUUAACGUGUU